UGUCACCUUUAGUUUCAAAGCACAAAUCUUGUUUCAAGCGUUGAACUGGGAGAAGCGCCCCACCAACCCCCCGAGAAGGGGGCUUCUCAACGCCUCCACUUCUCGCCACAUUUGUGGGUGGGGGGCACAGCAAGAGGGUUCUUAUCCCUGCCAGACUAAACAACUAGCCGAGCAAGUAAAUCAAGCUUCCCAGAGACACUACACUGGCCGUUGUGAAGACAAAAGCAGAGAGGAGAAAAAGAAAUCCAGUCCUCACCUCGAUUGAGUCUGACAAGGCUAGCCAGGCCCUCUGCUGACGUGCACACAUUUACAGUCUCCCUGUGAUUUUUUUUUUCUUCCCCAACACCAGUUCCACUCAGUCUGUUUGUUCAACAUAAUUUGGCUUUGAAUAGCAGGGAUCCAGUGACACUGCAGGGGAGCUGAGCCAGACAAAAGAAGUUAACGAGUGGGAAUGCCAUUGGUUUACAUGUGAUGUCAGGAGCUGGAUCAGCUAGCCUCUGCACAACUGAGGAAAAUGGGAGCGAUCCGGCACUGGAGGACAGAACGGCAGAAACAGCAGCUGGGGCAGGAGCACCAUCAAGCCCAGGCUGCAGCCCAACAGCAACAGCAGGAAGAGUUCCAGGAAAGGCAGCAGAUCCAGGCUGGAGCACAAUAGCAGCAGCAGCAUUCCUAGAAGCAGCUGUUUUCCAGACUAUUUAAUCCAAGUGCACCAUUCCUAUCCAAGAACAGACCGGAAGAUGACCCAGCAACUUAUUUGAUGGCUUUCAAAUGGGUAGGUACUGCUGCUCAGUGGGAGAAAGUCUUGGACUACAUCAUUGGCCCUUAUUCUGAUGGAAGUGGUACGAGUGGUGUAUUAGGGCCUGGAUGAGGAUGCAGUUACAGAUUAUAAACCAUGAAAACUGCUGUUUUGGAGCAGUUGAGAGUCUCUGUGGAGCAGUACUGACUCUUUCCAGGUAAGCCCUAUUCUUGUGUAUGCUUGACAUGUGAUGGAGUGGCCAACUGCUUGACUCAAGCCCAAGAUCCAGGUAGUGGGGAAACUAAUGGAUAUGAUGGAGCAGUAUGCCUGGGAAGGCGCAGACUUCAUGAAGUAGCAACAGCCAUCUACACUGGCAGCAGCUAUGCAACAAACCAAACUGAGGCUGACUCUCCAAAAAGACUGCCAUUAGCUACCAUUUAGAAUGGAAGAAUAAUCAAAUAGACAGAUGGAUGAACCAUUGUGCAGAAGUAUGAAGUGACUGGGGACCCCAAGAAAGUUCACAGAGACUUUAGGGGAGAGCCACUAGCAGCCCCAUAUGUUUUGCUUGUCGUAAACAGGGCCACAUGCAAAGAUUCUGCUUCUUGAUGGAGCAUGGAUUAUAGGGAGAUGUGAUGUCUUGCUUAGGACAUGGGAUACGGGGAACCCAAGGGAUGUUCUGUGCUUGUGUAUCUGAGAAGGUGGAAUGGAUCUGGCCAUUGGAGUAUGUCCAGAGGUGGUCAAGAAUAGAGAUGGAAAAACAAUUUCACAAACAAUUUUGAAAUGUCAAAGUUGUUUCUGGUUCACAGGGUUCAAUAUUCUGUAUCGUUUGUUUUAAAUUUGCUGUUUGUUUAAAACAAACAUUUUAAUUUCUAUUGCAUUCAGUGGUGAAAAGAAAUAAUGUGGAAAGCAAGAGAAAGGGAGAAAGGGGGAGGGAAAUCAAAAAACCUGAAGAGUGGAAAUUGUUUUAAAAAUGAAUUUUUUGCUUUUGAUGAAAAAGUAGAAAAUUUUGAAGAAAAAAAAAAGCUUUUCGUGGAAGCUUGUUGUUUCAAAGAGAGGCCAAUUUUAAUAAAAAAAAAAGUUUCAUGUGAAAAUUUUUGACCAGAUCUAGUGCCUAAGCAAUGGUGUAUGAGGGCUUGCUCAGAAUGAAGCUACUGCAGAAAGCAUAACCAGGGACUCCUGGACGUAUUCCUUGGGUGUAACCCUAUAUGAGUCGUGGUCUUAUGGUCCCUCUCCACAUGGGAUAACUCAUUCACUACCCUGGAUAAUUCUGUUGGGGAGGGAGUGGGAGAACUUUUGUACCCUUCUGAGCUCCAGAAGUUACUUAGGGGGUCAUGGAACCUAUUCCUGACCACAAAAGGAAAUGCCACGCAAAACAACAGAUUUUCUGGUAGCAACAUAGAAUUUUUGGCACUGGAUCCCCUAGUGUUAUGCAGAAGAGAAACAAGGAUGGCAUCCAUGGGUGUUACUCUGGGAGGGAGGUAUUUAAUAGGGUGGCAGAUUCUAGGACUUUGCAUUGGGUUGAAAGGAUCUUCUGUUGAGCUGUCAUAAUGUCAGGACCUUGAACCCUGCAUACAGAUAAAGAGGUGUUUUUGCUGAGUCACUCCAAGGUUAAAUCAGGUGAGUCCAGUUAGAGGCAAUCCAAGAGCAUGAGAUGGGUUUGAGACUCUCUCAAGCAGAGGGAACUAGGGCCAGUUGCAAUAGCCAAGCACAGUGAGAAAGCAUAGGCAGAUAUUAAAGUUUUCUUUUUGUUAUUUAAAUUAAUAAAGGCAAAGGUAUAAAUUUAGACUAUAUUCAGUAUAUUACCCAGGGUCCCAGCCAUAUCAUACACAGACACAACUGAAAGAUACACUCAUUAGAAACAGAGCAGGAUUUUACUUCGAAAGUGAAAUGCAUCAAUUAAUGUUUGUAGCCAACUCUGUGUAGAAAAAUACAUCAAGGGUCUGAGUCUUCUCUCAGUUACAUUGGUAUAAAUAAGGAAUAAUUCUGUUGAAAUCCAAGGAAUUACAUCAGGAAGAGUUAGUUAAGUGAGAAGAGAAUCAGAUCUUAAAUGUCAGAGCAUUUUCUCCCAGGCUACAGUAAUCACAUAUGGUAUCUUUUUACAUUUGAUUAUUAAAAAUUGGCAGGACAUUUCAGCAAUAAAACAGGGACUGAAACAUCUGCAAGGACAACAUGAGGUAUAACACACAUUAUGCACCAUGAGCUAUCAAAUGUCUGAGCACAUAACAUGUCCAAAAGGUCAGGUUUGGGGAAUAGUUAGUAAUGUUCUCAUCACACUUUUCUAGGCUCAUGUGUUAGGAGUAUAAAUGGAAAGGAAACAGCUGUUUUUGGGAAAGAGCGAGAAUUUUGUUUGGGAAAGGUACAAAAAAAAGAGAGCCAAUUUUGUCUGAUUCCAUUUGAAGCAUGACCCAUUCAGCCAGACUGUGUAGGACGCUUUGAUUUGAGAAUGUAUAUGUUAUAUAUAUUUUGUGAGGGAGAAAAGGAGACAAGGAAAGCAUAAACAGUACAGCCCAAAAUUCCAGGAAGUGAAACACAACAACCUCAUCUCAUAGUAAAAACAAGGAGAUGCUCUUUGGGAUAUAUCUUAAAUCUCAAAGUGUUUCCUAUCUCUCAGAACUAGGACCAUUAGCUCAGAUUCUUCAGAUCCCGUGACAUGAUAUGUUUAUCACCAUGUUUUAAACAGAUAUUUACAAUGAUCUUAUGCAUUCAGUCCAAAAUCAGGAGCAGCCUCCACAGGUUCAGAAGCUCCUCAGCAAGGAAAACCUGUGUGGUUCCAUUGCAUGGGUUUGGUGGGACAAUGGCUCCACAUGGUCUCCACAUGGUCCCCCUACAUGGGAAUGCACAGGGAGCAUGGCUGGGAAUCCUUUUCUGCUUGCAUCUUCCCUUCUUGCCCCACAAGGGCCUUGUGAGCCUACUCCAUACACUGCACACAUGUAGGCUCCAUGUAGUAGCUCCACAGCCUGGAGUGAGGGUGUGGUGGGGAGGUGCUUUAUGUAACAGAUUUGUUAAUUCUUCUGAGUGUGCACAACUAUAAUAUUCAUAGGGCAGGACUGAAGAAAAUCCUGGCCUAUAUGGCUAUCAAAUAUAUAUAUCACAUGCUAUAGAAAUACUCAUCAAUAAAUAUAAAACAUUGUGGCCUGGAGUAGACACGCCAUGCAUGGACUGUCACCCUCUCAUGUGUAUGUGGGGGUUCAGCUACCUCUGUGACUACCUGUUCCUUUUCUCUAGACCUUACAGAAGAUGCUUCAUGGCCCAGGGUCUAUACAGAGGAGAAAACAGGGACUAGGGGUAGGAGGAAGUAGUGGACUGACUAGGGGAAGGACAAUGCACACAACCUCCAACUCCAGUCAGUAAAGAUAACACAGCUUGAAGUUGUGUGGUCCUUCUGGCAGAGCACUCCCACUAGCAUGCCAGAGGCAGCCAUGGCCAGGAGAGUCUCCAAGAGCACAGCUGCCAUUGAACUAUACUGCUAAGGAACCAGGGAAGAAGGGCUGCUGAGAAUCAGAGCUGGUGCAGAAGGACAUAGUCAACACACAGAUGGCCCUGAGGCUCCCCUGAGACCUGCCAGUUUGGGGGUGAGACCUCAGCCUUCUUUUUUGAAGAGGGGUACAAACCUCACCCAUCACCCCCUCCUGCCCCCAACAGAAUAGUGUGUGGAACUUUCCAUGAGGUGAUCUGCACUGAUAUAUCCUCCCCCUGAGCCAUCUGCCUAGGAUUUCAAACUGGUCUGACAUUAUCUAGCUAUUUCCUAUCUUUUAGUAAAGUAACUGCUGCAAAUAUGCUGUAUUCUAUGGAAUGCAUCAUGCUAGCAACAUCUGAAGCUCCUCACACAGCAGUCUCAUAAAAGGAUUAUACACAAGAUCUGGUGGAAAGGCUGGGUUUGCUGUUAUCAUGGAGAGGAACAAGGCAGAUAAAGAAAGUUACACAAGUUCCAGGCCACUGUUAAAGCUAGAAGGUCUGAUCCUGAUGCCCAUGGAAGAUGCUAAAAAGACUCCAGAGGGUCUUCAGAGAGUUUUGGAUCCUUAGUCCUUACACCAUUUUAUGCUGAUGUAACUGCUUUGGGCCUGACUCUCCACUUCCUUAUACCAUUUUGACUUCAGUGGAAUCACACCAGCUUAAAACUGGUGUAGCUGAAUGGAGAACCCGUUGUAUUGUCUUCAAUGGAGUUACUCCUGAUUUACAUUGAUUGAGAAUCAGCCCAAUGUGAUUGCGCCUGCAAAGGUUUCACAAGAAACAUAAUAAAGGGGGAAAGAUGGCAUUACUCAGAGUUAAUGAUAUUUACAGUAUCUGUUUCUUGAAAAAGAGUUAACAUUGGGCAGCAGUAGCAUGUGCAACUACUCUUCUUUACAAAAACAUUAUUAAAAUGGAACUAACCGCACAAGAACGAACCAGGACCCUAAGAAGCAUUUAGAUAAAAACUUACCCCUGUAUAUUAAACAGACAUUCUUUCCACUAAACAAGAUGUAGAAAUAUGUCAUGCUACCUGGAGCAUGGAUUAAUAAUGUAUCAGUCUUUCUAGCACACAUGUUCACACAAACACACACACACACACACUUAAAAUGGGCAUUUUUUCCACAUUCUGCACUGUGGAAGUUGUCCACAGUGAAUGAAGGUUGGGGAGAAGGUGCGAUAACUAAUAAUGGGAUAUUCACUAACUGCUGACAAAGAUGCACAGCUCACAAAAACAUUAGUUUUCCUCAUUUCCUUGCCUCACAAAUUCAGAUCUAUAAACAUUGCAUAGAACAGUUUGUUACUCUUUAAGGGCUUGAUUCUGCUCCCACCUCAAGUCAAUGGACAAACUCCCAUUGACCUGAACGGUGUAAGACCAAACCCUAAAAUGCCUUCACAAUUGGCAUUAACAUAAACAUAAGAACUGGUCAGAAAGUGGUAACUGUUUUUCCAUUUGUUUUGGAUUUGUUUCCAAAAAUUUGUUGUUCUGACAAAAAAAGAAAAAAAAGA